CGAUACCCUAGUGUGAAUUGCAGAAUUCCGCGAAUCAUCGAGUUUUUGAACGCAAGUUGCGCCCGAGGCUCGUACCGAGGGCAUGUCUGUCUGAGCGUCCA
rnacentral:rRNA from 1 species